AGGGAGGACGGUGGGACAGGAGGAGGGCUGCCCACUGUCCUGGCCCCCCAGAGGCACCAAGCCCUCGCCGUCAGUAUCCAAACCUUUACAAGUUAGACAGAGUCGGUCUUCACUGGAGGGGGCAUUCCUGGGCCCAACUGCUCUUCAGAGCCUGCUGGAAGCAAUUAAUUAGCGGGACCAGGUACCUGUGUCCUGCUGGGCUGGCCCCACCUCGGCCUUCCUCCGGAGCUCCUGCAGCCCCAGGGAAUCUGUUGCCAGCUCGUGGGUCUGAGAUCUGCAGGGGCUCACACUUAAACUGUGGUGCCCUCUGACCUGGCCUGACUUCCAUGGGAACCCAUGGCCUGAGGGGAGAGGAAGGAUGGUGCCAGGCUUCGGAGAGGGGCUGUUUUCUUUUCAGGCUCCCUGGAGCCCUGGCCGGCUGCCUCCCCUCCCAGGUUCCACCUGGACUCCUACCUGCCCUCCACAGGGCCCUGCCUGGCCCCCUUUUCCCAUCAAUCAGAAAACAGUGACCUGGCCUGCACCUGACACUUCCUCCACCUCCCCUGGGCCCGGCCUCGGGCUCCUCAGCAGCCCUGGAUUUGGCCUGGAGCCAGGGAUUUGGGCAGAGGAGAGCCCUUGCUCCGGACGAGGAGAGGCAGUUCAGGGCCUGGAGGGGACCGGGUAAGCUCAGCCUGGGGCUUCUCCGGGAGGCUGGCAGCUAGAGAGCCCUGUCUCCAGGGGCAGACAUGCACACAGGGAGAGACAACUUGCAGUCAGCAGCCAUGCGGGCCCCGGGAGUGCCUCCUGUCCUCACCAGGGUGGUGGUGGGGGCACCAGAGGUCCCAGCCGCCAUGCUGCCCCACCCUGAUCCUCGGCCUACACUCGCUCCUGGCCCUGCCUACCUGAGCUGCCCCUGCCUUGGCUCCCAGGGGCUGUCGGGCCCAUCUGUAUGGCUGCCCCCCACCCGCGAGCCCCUCCUUUGGAGAAGCACCUGUCAGUGUGAGUCUAGGGCUGGGACCUCCCGGGGCUCCUUUUUGGGUUCCCUGGGCGAUUGCACCCCAAAUGUUGUUUCCUAGGUCUGAGGGAGAGAGGUUCUCUAUCUUGCUGCUCAGACGGCCCUGGCCAGGUAAUCUCCCUCUUGAGCUGGGGGUGGGGGCACUGAGACGCCGUCCCAGGGCCUCUUCCUCCUGCUCUGCUGCCUCCAGGAACUGAGAACAGCCCCCUGCCCCCCAGGGCACUUGCCCUCGCCGUUUCACCGCAGCACACAAGUGCUCACAAGCUCGGCAGUGACUAAAAGCCAGGAAGGGCUGGGGAGGCCGGGAGCCUUCUGGGUGAACCCUGUGUUGAUGAGGCUGACAAAGCUCUGGGCUGAGCCCCACACUCCUUUCCUGACGCUCCGAUUUCAAGGCUUCUCUUAGAUGGGGCCGCUUUCUAGGAAGGGAGGUUGGGGGGUCUUCCCUGCCCGCUGGCCGGGGGAGGGUGGAUAUGAGUGGCCAGCCCAGCACCCCCUGCGCCUGUCUCGCCUGGAGCCGGCUUGGCCCCAGUACUGGCUUUCUGGAAAACAAACCUAACUUGAAAUCCUUGGAAAAGGGUGCCUGGUGCAGACCACCCUGUGUCACUGCCUGGAAACCAUGACUGGGGAGGGGCAGCCUCUCUGGGGGGUCCUCAGAGCCGGCAGAGGCUGACUCGUGGCUGAGGCUCGGCUCUGGCUCCGGCUCUGGGGUCGCCUUCUGUGACCCUCCAGCUGAUGGUGGUGGAGGCAAUGGUAGCAAAGUUUUACAAAGCUCUUCCUGGCCCCUGGUGCUGUGGACUGGGCCGGUGAUGCAGUUGGUGCUGUAUCACCCUCAGUACACAGAUGAGGAGUUGGAGCUUUGCUGGGUCUCGUGCGCAGGGGGCAACAAGGGAAGGAGCGGCCCACCCAGCCCUUUCCAAAGCUCUGUUGCUCUGUUUCCAAACCUUCCAGGCACCACGUUUAUUGAUGUGUUUGCCUCUGUCGCUCUGUUUCCAAACCUUCGAGGCACCAUGUUUAUUCAUGUGUUUGCCUCUCCCGCGAGGUUGUAAACACCAUGAAGAGAGCAAGGAUGUUUUAUCUGCUUCUGUCACAGAUUUUCAGAGCCUGGCACAAAGCCUGGCAGAGUAGCUGUUCGCACAACACCUAACGUUCCAUCAAAGAAGAUCCGCAGACAGCACGGGAGCGAAUGGAAGGAUGUUUCACACCAGUCGCCAUUAGGAGGACACAAGCCCUGAAGGGUGCUGUUCCUCUGGGAGGGGCUUUGCGACUCAGAAGGGCAGCAAAGACUUCCUGCAUUGGGUGAGAUUCAAGCACGAGGGACCCAGACCUUCAUCUCAGAUGAACAUAAGAACGACCACCAGGCAAGUUCUGAUUUAGAGUCACAGACUCCAGGCUGAGCCCUCAGGAGCCCUGUGUCACCAUCUGGCUCAGCAAACUCAAGGGCUGCCUUUCCCUGUAGCAUCUGCCUGCAGAGCCUCACUCCGCCGACGUGCAGCCCCCCAGGUGAAGCAGCCCUGUUUCAGGAGGAAGACCCAGUUUAUUUCUGCACGUGUUUGGAGUAUGGAUUCCAAAGACAUGAAUCAUUCACCUCUCUGCUUGCUCUACUCCUCAGACAUUUUGGGGUCAGGAGAAAUGGCUGAAUUAAUUUUGUGUUUUAAUGUGAUAAAAACAGCAGCAAGACUGGGUGCGGUGGCUCACACCUGUCAUCUCAGCACUUUGGGAGGCUGACGCGGGUGGAUCACCUGAGGUCAGGAGUUUGAGACCAGCCUGGCCAACAUGGUGAAACCCCAUCUCUACUGAAAAUACAAAAAUUAGCCGGGUGUGAUGGCGGGUGCCUGUAAUCCCAGCUACUCGGGAGGCUGAGACAGGAGAAUUGCCUGAACCCGGGAGGCAGAGGUUGCAGUGAGCCGAGAUUGCGCCACUGCACUCCAGCUCGGGCGACAGAGUGAGACUCAGUCUCAAAAAAACAAAAACAAAAACAAAAUAAAAAAACCCACAAAACAAAAAACAAAAACAAAAACAAAACAGCAGCCAAACAGUGCUGUGGUUCCCCCACCCAGCCACACAUGCAGGCUCCUCCACGGUGGCCGUGGCGGAGGGUCUCACGUAGCCCCUGAGGGAGGCAGCUGGAACAUGCACUUCUUCCAGGGACACCCACGGGGGGGCCCAGCUCUGCUCACCCUCUGAAGCCCACGAGGGCCGCUGGCGCUGUUCUCCUAAAAGACCUCCAGGGAGGUUUGCGAUGCCUCCUGCCGCCGUCUGAGGGCUCGGGCUCCAAGCCCUGAAAGCUCUUGCCUCUGUGCCGUUAGGACUCCGGCAGAAAACAGGGUGCUCAGCAAUGUCCUGGGGGCAGGUGAAGCAGCCGCGGGCGGGGCGUGUGGCCUGUGCAGUGCUGAGCCCAGCACCGUGGGGAUGGGAAGACGGAUGUCCUGGGGGCCUCUGAGGGGUUGAUUCUCUCACGUCCUGAGGGCCACAGGUCCGGGGCCCUGGUGUUGCAGGACAGGCUCCUUCUGGGGGUUGAAGCAGAAUGUGUCCUGGUCCCUCUCACUGGCUUCUGGAUGGCUGUCGUCUCCCUGUGUCUCUUCCCAUCUUCUUCCCUCUGUACGAGCCUCUCUCUGGGUCCAGGUUCCCCCUUUCCAUGAGGACGGCAGUCCCACCAGAUCGGGGCCUCCAGUGACCUCACCUUCCCUCAGUCUCAUCUGCAAGGGCCCUGUCUCCAAAUGAGGUCACAUUCAGGGGUCCUGGGGGUUAGAAUUUGGACAUAUGAAUAUUUGGGGGGCACAGUCCAGCCCAUAAGAGACAUGAAGUGAGGGACAGUGGAGUCAGGCUGGGGCCUUGAAAGCACCUGGCAUGUCCCCGUCUUACUCUCUCGCCACCUCCCGUCUUAGCCAGGCCCCGGCAGGACAGCCGGGCCCUUGGCUGUGGAGCACACGUGCAUCUGGCCCAGGGCCCUGAAGGGCUGCGGGGUGAGGCCUGCAGGAGCCGGAGGUGCUGGCCGCUCUCCUGAACCACCCAGAUGACCAGCAGACCCGCCCCACAAGGCCCACACCCACUCCAGGCACCAAACCGCAGCUCUUCCUCCCAAGUCCAGACCACGUCCUCCUGUGGCCAGCCCUGACCCGGAACCACACUGGGAAGGGGCUUUGGGAAACAUCCCAGCUUCCCUGUGCUGCCAUGGCCUGCCACCCUGGCCUCCCUUGGUGCUGGUGGUGUAGCCUCCGCCUCGGCCUCCCUUGGUGCUGGUGGUGUAGCCUCCGCCUCGGCCUCCCACAGUGCUGGAUGGUAUAGACUCCCGCCUUGGCCUCCCACAGUGCUCUCGCCUCACGCCCCGGCCUCCCACAGUGCUGGUGCUCUAGCCUCCUGCCUCGGCUUCCCACAGUGCUGGUCCUGCAGCCUCAUGCCCUGGCUUCCCGAAGUGCUGGUGAUGUAGCCUCUCGCCCCAGCCUCCCGCAGUGCUGGUGCUGCAGCCUCACGCCCCAGUCUCCUGCAGUGCUGGUGGUGUAGCCGCUGCACCCGGCCCCUUGUGCAUCUUGUAUCCUCUCCUGGAUCUCAGGUGACCCAGCUGUGCCCCACCCUCCCCAGCCUUGCUGAGAAGCCUCCACAGAGCCAGGACCAGAGCGUGUGACCCUGAAGCUCCCGGAAGAGUUCCGGGUCAGUCUUACAUCACUGACCUCCUAUCCGCCGGGGCUCUUUGUUACAAACUACGAGAGUAGAUGGUGGUGGAUGAUGGGACGGCUGACGGCAGGAGGGCUGGGGCCACUGCAGAGCCACAUGACGCCUGGGGUCCCAGCCAGGGCAGGGCCGUCCCCCGGGUGUCUUUAGGACGACACUGCUGUUGCUGUGAAUAAUUUCUAAAGUGUCCCAGCGCCUUCAUCUGUCCCUCAAGAUUCAAAUCCCUGGACAGAAGCCCAUCCCAGAGAGAGAGAGGGAGGCUCCACGUCUGAGGGGGAGCCCAGCUCCUACUGCCCCCGACACAUGCUCCACGUGCGUGGCCGGGGGCUUGGGUGUGUUGGGAGGCCAAGACCCUGACAGCCCAAUCAGCAAAAUCCCACGCUUGUGUGGCCAACCUUGAUCCACCCCCGCCCCCUCCUAACACACAUCCUGCCUGCCUGAGUGUGCUUCCCGGCUGCCUGACCUUUGGCCUCCGGCACAGCCGUGUCCCUGGGCUCCAGCCAGUGGGAUUCGGGGGAUUUCCAAGCCUGGCCCUACUCCUGCCCCACCAUGGUCCUUGCCCUCUUUCUCUGAGUGGAGAAUUCGGAGGGGCCAAAGGCAGCACAGCAGAGCUGGGUCAAGUGGAGCCUGGAUCCCUGCAUGACCGCGUGGACUGCUGCCCACUAUCUGGGAACAGUCCAGGUUGGCCUUCCCCUGAGUGAGAAAUGAACUGUACUGUGUCAAGCUGGGGAGUGUGAGGCUCCAUUAGAGCAGCUAGAGUUACCCACCUCAACAAACGCAACUCGCGAGCCAGCUAAGGGCACGAUCCACUUUAUGGAUGAAGAAUCUGGCAGGAUGACAAUUCGUGUCUUCAAAAAAUAUCACGCAGCCAAUUUGUGGAGAAGGUCAUACCUAACCCCAGUCUCAGGGUGCUGGAGCGUGGGCUGGAGAGGACAGCGGGGAAUCCUGAAGCAGAGGCUGCAGGUACAGCCGACUGUCCCCAGAACUCACUUUGUCCCAGAUCUUGUCAGCAGGCCCUGGGAUUGCCCCAGAAGGAGCCCAGCCCAUGUCUUUGAAUCCAGAUCCUGUGCUCUGUUGACAAAAGGACUUCUUAUCAAAAAGUUAAGGUUUUUGAUUAUAAAAGAAAUACAUAUUCACUUUAGACAGAGUAGCACAAAGAAAAAAUGACAAACUUCCUAUAAUCCUUCUAUCCAGAAAUCAUUAUUGUAAACAUUUUUGGAUAUUUCCCUCCAUGUCUUCUUGUUUCUUUCUUUUAGAGAUGGGGUCUCGCCAUGUUGCCCAGGCUGGAGCGCAGUGGUGCAAUCACAGCUCACUGCGACCUUGGAAUUCGAAGCUCCAGUGAUCCUCCUUCUUCUACCUCCCCAGCAGCCGGGGAAACAGGCACGCACUACUAUGCCUGGCUAAUUA